GUCAUUUUGUAUUAACAUUCUCAUUAAGUUUUACAAUAGUAUUAGGUGCAACUAUAUUAGGAUUCAGUAAACACGGUUUAGAAUUCUUUUCUCUAUUUGUUCCUGCUGGUUGUCCAUUAGGAUUAUUACCUUUACUAGUAUUAAUAGAAUUUAUAUCUUACUUAGCUAGAAAUGUAUCAUUAGGUUUAAGAUUAGCUGCUAAUAUAUUAUCAGGUCAUAUGCUUUUAAAUAUAUUAAGUGGAUUUACUUAUAACAUAAUGACUUCAGGUUUCAUAUUCUUCUUUUUAGGAUUCUUU
rnacentral:misc_RNA from 1 species